rnacentral:rRNA from 1 species
GAUGAACGCUGGCGGCGUGCCUAAUACAUGCAAGUCGAGCGAACAGAUGAGGAGCUUGCUCCUCUGACGUUAGCGGUGGACGGGUGAGUAACACGUGGAUAACCUACCUAUAAGACUGGGAUAACUUCGGGAAACCGGAGCUAAUACCGGAUAAUAUAUUGAACCGCAUGGUUCAAUAGUGAAGGACGGUUUUGCUGUCACUUAUAGAUGGAUCCGCGCCGCAUUAGCUAGUUGGUAAGGUAACGGCUUACCAAGGCAACGAUGCGUAGCCGACCUGAGAGGGUGAUCGGCCACACUGGAACUGAGACACGGUCCAGACUCCUACGGGAGGCAGCAGUAGGGAAUCUUCCGCAAUGGGCGAAAGCCUGACGGAGCAACGCCGCGUGAGUGAUGAAGGUCUUCGGAUCGUAAAACUCUGUUAUUAGGGAAGAACAAAUGUGUAAGUAACUAUGCACGUCUUGACGGUACCUAAUCAGAAAGCCACGGCUAACUACGUG